CUUUAGCCGUCAUUAAGUAUGGAGCGUUUGUCAUGUUAAGUGGUCGGUCUGUCGAUCUCUUGUCCGGAAUUUUACCACGUUGAUGUACAUGUUAAUAAUUCUGUGGGUCUGACUCCAGCUUCAGCCGUAACAAACAAAUAAAUUGCAUAUUUCACAGUACUUUUUCGAAAUUUGACGUACUCCUUAUUUGACUUAUUUUUCGACCAAUUUCAAAUGUCUGCCAGCCCAUUUCUGCUACUGGGUGAUGCAUUUUCAGAAAGUGGUGGUGCAUCCUAUUGAUAUAUUUUGUGUUGGGAUGAGAAUGUAUGGAGGUGAAGCAUCAGCCAGGGACUUGAAUUGUCAUGUUUUAGUUCAGUAUGAAAAAACAGCCUGAAUUGGUAAGAUUGAAGAAAAAAACACUUCUGAAGUGAACAAGUUUUUGUGCCAUUAAGCAUUUUAGAAUAAGAAUUUUUUAAAUUUUUUUUCUAUGUAAUUUGUCCCCAACUUACAGUGCAUUUUUUCCCGAAGUAUUCCGAAUUCAUUUAACAUGAUUGCCUUGUUGACAAGAUGAUAUCUUGUCAACCGUAAUAUGUUUAACUUUGUUUUCUUUCUCAAAUGCUAAAUUAAAUUACAUGAGAAGUUAAAGGUUUCUGAAAUGGUAACUACGAAUGUGAGGCAACCCAUUGGAAUAGUUGACAAAAUACAUAGACGGAACGAUUUGCAAAA